rnacentral:piRNA from 1 species
UGGUGAGGAUGGAGCUGUACGGCUUUGGG